rnacentral:rRNA from 1 species
UACGGAGGGUGCAAGCGUUAUCCGGAUUCACUGGGUUUAAAGGGUGCGCAGGCGGAUUAGUAAGUCAGUGGUGAAAGCCUUAAGCUUAACUUGGGAACUGCCAUUGAUACUACUAGUCUUGAAUGUUGUUGAGGUUUGCGGAAUGGGUCAUGUAGCGGUGAAAUGCAUAGAUAUGACCCGGAACACCUAUUGCGAAGGCAGCAGGCUAAACAAAUAUUGACGCUGAGGCUCGAAAGCGUGGGGAUCAAACAGG